GCAUAUCAAUAAGCGGAGGAAAAGAAACCAACAGGGAUUGCCCUAGUAACGGCGAGUGAAGCGGCAACAGCUCAAAUUUGAAAUCUGGCGUAAGCCCGAGUUGUAAUUUGUAGAGGAUGCUUCUAGGUAGCGACUGGUCUAAGUUCCUUGGAACAGGACGUCAUAGAGGGUGAGAAUCCCGUAUGUGACUGGCCCGCACCUUCUACGUAGCUCCUUCGACGAGUCGAGUUGUUUGGGAAUGCAGCUCUAAAUGGGAGGUAAAUUUCUUCUAAAGCUAAAUACCGGCCAGAGACCGAUAGCGCACAAGUAGAGUGAUCGAAAGAUGAAAAGCACUUUGGAAAGAGAGUUAAAAAGCACGUGAAAUUGUUGAAAGGGAAGCGCUCACAACCAGACUUCUGGGCGGUGUUCCGCCGGUCUUUUGACCGGUCUACUCGCCGUCCCGAGGCCAACAUCAUCUGGGACCGCUGGAUAAGACCUCAGGAAUGUAGCUUCCCUUGGGAAGUGUUAUAGCCUGUGGUGAUGCAGCGUGUCUCGGGUGAGGUCCGCGCUUCGGCAAGGAUGUUGGCGUAAUGGUUGUCAGCGGCCCGUCUUGAAACACGGACCAAGGAGUCUAACAUCUAUGCGAGUGUUCGGGUGUCAAACCCCUACGCGUAAUGAAAGUGAACGGAGGUGGGAAGCGUAAGCUGCACCAUCGACCGAUCCUGAUGUCCUCGGAUGGAUUUGAGUAAGAGCAUAGCUGUUGGGACCCGAAAGAUGGUGAACUAUGCCUGAAUAGGGUGAAGCCAGAGGAAACUCUGGUGGAGGCUCGCAGCGGUUACUGACGUGCAAAUCGAUCGUCAAAUUUGGGUAUAGGGGCGAAAGACUAAUCGAACCAUCUAGUAGCUGGUUUCCUGCCGA
rnacentral:rRNA from 1 species